rnacentral:rRNA from 1 species
UACGGAGGGGGCGAGCGUUAUUCGGAAUUAUUGGGCGUAAAGGGCGCGUAGGCGGCUUGACAAGUCAAAGGUGAAAUCCCUCGGCUCAACUGAGGAACUGCCUUUGAAACUGUCUGGCUUGAGGCCGGGAGGGGGUAGCGGAAUUCCCAGUGUAGCGGUGAAAUGCGUAGAUAUUGGGAGGAACACCGGUGGCGAAGGCGGGUCUCUGGGCCGAUACUGACGCUGAGGAGCGAAAGCGUGGGGAGCGAACAGG